rnacentral:lncRNA from 1 species
UUUUACAUAUAAUUCAUUUAAUUUUUACGAAACAAUAAUUAAUAUUUACAAAACACUUAAAUUUUAUAUAUAUGCUAGCGGAUGAGCUUUAUUACGAAAGCAUAUAACAUGAAGUUUUUGAGUGCUUUGAAAUUGUUGUGGCGUGAUUUGUUUUUUUCGUCACAACUACUGUGGAAUCAAAAUUAUAAUUGUCCAACAAUAUAAACGUGAGUAAAUUUACUAUGUUACUACUUUUAACUAAACACUUGGGGAAAGUCCAAAAGAUUGAAACACAAACAAGGCCUUGUUGAUUAACUUUUGUAGAAGGAGGCAUUGAAUAUAUCAUACUCUAGACUCUAGGCAAAGGUCUAGCAACCCGGCUGCUACAUUCUUUUCAAGGCUCUCUAGUUCUGACUUUCUGCUACGACAUUUAAUAGCUGGCUGUUGAUCUUUUUUGAUUGAAUUUUGAUUUUUGUCACGCCAAACUUUCGGUACAUCCAAUAAAAUGCCGCACUUAAAUGUUGUCUUUGUCAUUUUUGAGCAAGUGGAAUGCCUGAUGUAAAAGGUUUACGGCGUUACAGGCUUACAGCUGCUAACAAGAAUCACUUCUUUUCAGGUAAAUAAAGAGAAAAACGAUGUCGCAUAUCACAUGAAGUGUCGACACAUCAGCCUGAUCUUUUUGUCUACUUGUGGAUAGAUUCUCCUUCAUCCGCAUUGCCGGUUCUCCCUUUUCCUAUUGUCUGCGACUCCGCUUCGAGAGAAGGAUUUGUGCGCGGGGCUACCCACCAUUUCUUGAGAUGAUGAGAUAAUUCAUAAGAUAUGUGGUAAAAUUAAUUAAAUUUAGCAUUAAUAUAUAUAUAUAUGAUAAAUUCUCUUAAAGAAUCCGUU